rnacentral:rRNA from 1 species
GAUGAACGCUGGCGGCGUGCCUAAUACAUGCAAGUCGAGCGAACGGACGAGAAGCUUGCUUCUCUGAUGUUAGCGGCGGACGGGUGAGUAACACGUGGAUAACCUACCUAUAAGACUGGGAUAACUUCGGGAAACCGGAGCUAAUACCGGAUAAUAUUUUGAACCGCAUGGUUCAAAAGUGAAAGACGGUCUUGCUGUCACUUAUAGAUGGAUCCGCGCUGCAUUAGCUAGUUGGUAAGGUAACGGCUUACCAAGGCAACGAUGCAUAGCCGACCUGAGAGGGUGAUCGGCCACACUGGAACUGAGACACGGUCCAGACUCCUACGGGAGGCAGCAGUAGGGAAUCUUCCGCAAUGGGCGAAAGCCUGACGGAGCAACGCCGCGUGAGUGAUGAAGGUCUUCGGAUCGUAAAACUCUGUUAUUAGGGAAGAACAUAUGUGUAAGUAACUGUGCACAUCUUGACGGUACCUAAUCAGAAAGCCACGGCUAACUACGUGCCAGCAGCCGCGGUAAUACGUAGGUGGCAAGCGUUAUCCGGAAUUAUUGGGCGUAAAGCGCGCGUAGGCGGUUUUUUAAGUCUGAUGUGAAAGCCCACGGCUCAACCGUGGAGGGUCAUUGGAAACUGGAAAACUUGAGUGCAGAAGAGGAAAGUGGAAUUCCAUGUGUAGCGGUGAAAUGCGCAGAGAUAUGGAGGAACACCAGUGGCGAAGGCGACUUUCUGGUCUGUAACUGACGCUGAUGUGCGAAAGCGUGGGGAUCAAACAGGAUUAGAUACCCUGGUAGUCCACGCCGUAAACGAUGAGUGCUAAGUGUUAGGGGGUUUCCGCCCCUUAGUGCUGCAGCUAACGCAUUAAGCACUCCGCCUGGGGAGUACGACCGCAAGGUUGAAACUCAAAGGAAUUGACGGGGACCCGCACAAGCGGUGGAGCAUGUGGUUUAAUUCGAAGCAACGCGAAGAACCUUACCAAAUCUUGACAUCCUUUGACAACUCUAGAGAUAGAGCCUUCCCCUUCGGGGGACAAAGUGACAGGUGGUGCAUGGUUGUCGUCAGCUCGUGUCGUGAGAUGUUGGGUUAAGUCCCGCAACGAGCGCAACCCUUAAGCUUAGUUGCCAUCAUUAAGUUGGGCACUCUAAGUUGACUGCCGGUGACAAACCGGAGGAAGGUGGGGAUGACGUCAAAUCAUCAUGCCCCUUAUGAUUUGGGCUACACACGUGCUACAAUGGACAAUACAACGGGCAGCGAAACCGUGAGGUCAAGCAAAUCCCAUAAAGUUGUUCUCAGUUCGGAUUGUAGUCUGCAACUCGACUACAUGAAGCUGGAAUCGCUAGUAAUCGUAGAUCAGCAUGCUACGGUGAAUACGCUCCCGGGUCU